AGUGAACGCUGGCGGUAGGCCUAACACAUGCAAGUCGAACGGCAGCACAGAGGAGCUUGCUCCUUGGGUGGCGAGUGGCGGACGGUUGAGGAAUACAUCGGAAUCUACUCUGUCGUGGGGGAUAACGUAGGGAAACUUACGCUAAUACCGCAUACGACCUACGGGUGAGAGCAGGGGUUCUUCGGACCUUGCGCGAUUGAAUGAGCCGAUGUCGGAUUAGCUAGUUGGCGGGGUAAAGGCACACCAAGGCGACGACCCGUAGCUGGUCUGAUGGGAUGAUCAGCCACACUGGAACUGAGACACGGUCCAGACUCCUACGGGAGGCAGCAGUGGGGAAUAUUGGACAAUGGGCGCAAGCCUGAUCCAGCCAUACCGCGUGGGUGAAGAAGGCCUUCGGGUUGUAAAGCCCUUUUGUUGGGAAAGAAAUCCAUCUGGUUAAUACCCGGGUGGGAUGACGGUACCCAAAGAAUAAGCACCGGCUAACUUCGUGCCAGCCGCCGCAGUAA
rnacentral:rRNA from 1 species